GCGUGUUCUCAGGGCGGGGCGAAAUUCCCCACCGGCGGUAAAGGGCGCAAGCCCCAAGCCCGCGAGCGGCCUCAUGGUUACCCAUGAGGUGUCAGCAGAUCUGGUGCAACUCCAGAGCCGACGGUCAUAGUCCGGAUGAAAGAGAACGUCA
rnacentral:ncRNA from 1 species